rnacentral:rRNA from 1 species
CUCUUUCGGGUGGGACGAUGAUGACGGUACCACCAGAAGAAGCCCCGGCUAACUUCGUGCCAGCAGCCGCGGUAAUACGAAGGGGGCUAGCGUUGUUCGGAAUUACUGGGCGUAAAGCGCACGCAGGCGGCUCGAUAAAUUAGAAGUGAAAGCCUUGGGCUUAACCUGAGAAUUGCUUUUAAGACUGUCGAGCUAGAAUCCAGAAGAGGGUAGUGGAAUUCCGAGUGUAGAGGUGAAAUUCGUAGAUAUUCGGAAGAACACCAGUGGCGAAGGCGACUACCUGGUCUGGCAUUGACGCUCAUGUGCGAAAGCGUGGGGAGCAAACAGGAUUAGAUACCCUGGUAGUCCACGCCGUAAACGAUGGGUGCUAGUUGUUGGGGUCCAUAGGACUUCAGUGACGCAGCUAACGCAUUAAGCA